GCUCAGUGGUGUAGUGUGGUUAGAGCACGCGUCUCCGGAUAGGAUGUAACGCGGGUUCGAUUCCCGCUGAGGCGGCG